rnacentral:tRNA from 1 species
AAAGACCUAUAGAACUUUCUUCUACAUCAU